CAGACUGUCUAAUAAUCUGUCUAGGUUAUAGGUACUUUGUCAUUUUCUUUUAGUUUCAUCGUAAUACAAACCAAGAAGUACUCACCUAAAGUAUUUUUAACUUUUGCUUAGUAAAUACUACACAACAAAAAAGUAUGCUGAAUGUAAGUGCUGGUUGUUGGUAUGGUAUAUUCUUGGAUGCCUAUAGUUAUUCUACAAAUUAUUUGAUUUUUAGUAUUACGGUGAUCAUAGCCUCGUUAUUAUUUUUGUGGAUAUAUGAAAAACCGCAAUUUCAUAAGCUUAUAUUUAAAAGAAGUAAGCAUUCGAAUAUUGUGAGCCCAAUAGAAAGCAGCGAUGCCCUAGCAGCUAAUCCAUCAUUAUUAUAUGCUGAUCUAUCAAACAACCAGGAAGAAAAGAAAGAUCCAGUUAUUGAACCUGAAUCAGAAUCUUGUUAACAAUAAAUUAUACUAAUUUAGAAAAAA